GGCCUGAUGGUCUAGUAGUAUGAUUCCUUGUUAGGGCUGAACUCAGUUGUUCACUUGUCAUAUCGAGGAGGUCCCGGGUUCAAUUCCCGGUCAGGCCC